CGUUCUGGCUUUGCCAGGACAAGUACAGUGGCGGACGGGUGCGUAACGCGUAGAUAACCUGCCCUCAGGCGCGGGACAAUCACGGGAAACCGUGGCUAAUACCGCACGUCGUCUGGAUCCCGCAUGGGAACCAGAUGAAAGCCUUCGGGUGCCUUUGGAUGGGUCUGCGUUGGAUUAGCUUGUUGGUGAAGUAAAAGCUCACCAAGGCGACGAUCCAUAGCUGGUCUGAGAGGACGAUCAGUCACACUGGGACUGAGACACGGCCCAGACUCCUACGGGAGGCAGCAGUGGGGAAUCUUGCACAAUGGGGGAAACCCUGAUGCAGCCAUGCCGCGUGGAGGAAGACACCCCUAUGGGGCGUAAACUCCUUUUCUGAGAGAAGAAACCCCUGUAUGUUCAGGGUGUGACGGUAUCUCAGGAAUAAGCACCGGCUAACUCCGUG
rnacentral:rRNA from 1 species